GAUAAAGUCAGCUAAUAAAGCUUUCGGGCCCAUACCCCGAACAUGAUGGUUAAAAUCCCUCCUCUAUCA
rnacentral:tRNA from 4 species